GCCGAGUCUAUCGCGAAAGUUUGUAUUAAGAGGUCGAGGCAGCGCAAUUAGUUGCCGCCCCUGUUGACUCAGGCCAGGCACCCGGAUGGCGUGGAAAGGGCUAUAUCGCCGUGUGUUUCUUCCCUCGGUCACGGGGGAGGGAAUUCACCGCCCUGGAGAGUUUGGUGCCUGAGGCGGCUGCUUCCUUUCGCUUCUCGGGCGGGCCCUCUGGCUACAACCCGGUUGACAGUUCGUUAGGUGGAACAUGCAGGAAGGAAAGCGAAGACUGUUGACCCCAGCGCCACUUCAAACUUUGCGGGAUAGGACGUGUGUGUGUGCGUGUUGCGGGGCGGGGGUGGUGGUGGAAGGAAGUUUUCGUCAGCAAUUGUGAGCCUUCGCUAAUACAUUAAAUUGCGAGGAAAACGCGCCAAAACCUCUCGACAGUGUCUUGCGGGUGCGGAGGCCUCGACACGUCCUCUGCCUCGCUCCGUCUUAUUCCCUACCUUUGCGCAAUACCUAAGCCUUUUUUUCCCCGUCUUGCCUGAGGGAGAGACACUACCUGCGUUUUCGAAGACCGCGGAAACUUCGUAAGGCAGGAAGGAGGGACGGGUCACUUUUCGGCGGCCCUCCGCCCUCUUCUUCUUUCCUUCCCUUUCCUCGUCCUACCGCCAAGCAGCUGCGGGCCUCCAGGGGAUCAGCCUUUCCUGCGCUGGCCGGGCAGGCGGCGGCGGCGGCUGCGCGCCCGCUGCUUCUGCUCCCAGUUAGAGGUGGCUCCUCCAUUUCCAUAUCAUCACUGGUGUUGCAACCUCACAGUCCUCUGCUGUUCUAUAGUGAAGGAGAAAAUGUAGAAGAAAGGAAGUGAAGGGGAGUGGUAAAGGUAAAGGUUCCCCUUGACAAUUGAGUCCAGUUGU